rnacentral:rRNA from 1 species
AGGUGAACCUGCGGAAGGAUCAUUGUCGAAAUCGAACGGAAGAAACGAACCCGCGAAUCGUCGUUGCGUACUAGACAGAGCCCGUGAGCACCUAACGCUCACGGGGCUCGCGUCGCGUCGGCGCGGGUGUCCUCGAGACCCGCGUCGUAGCGGCGGACAAACAAUGUCAGCACGGAUCGUGCCAAGGAGCUUUAUGGAGAGAAUCGUCGUCCCACGCCUUCGAUAGUCCCCGAUGCGGGACGGGGGGCGGGGGACGUACGCAAUCUCUACUCGAGUCAAAACGACUCUCGGCAACGGAUAUCUCGGCUCUUGCAUCGAUGAAGAACGUAGCGAAAUGCGAUACUUGGUGUGAAUUGCAGAAUCCCGCGAACCAUCAAUUCUUUGAACGCAAGUUGCGCCCGAAGCCAUUCGGCCGAGGGCACGCCUGCCUGGGUGUCGUGAAUCCCCUUGCCCCUAGGCACCCCGCACGAGCAUCGGCGGGGAUAUACGCUCGGGCGCAGAAUAUGGUCUCCCGUGGGAUCGGCAUGCGCGGCGUGUCGAGGUGCGGUUGGCCGAAAAUCGAGCAUGGCGGUGACGGGCACCACGGCGGUCGGUGGAUCGAACGAGAUUGGCUCCGCCGUGGGCUCGGCAUGCGGCGGGCUCCGGACUUUGAAUAUCCCCGAGUGCGAUCCCAGGUCAGGCGGGGCUACCCGCUGAGUUUAAG